CAUUGAAAACCGGCGGUCAUCCAGCAGUGUACGCUGCCAGCGUAUUUUUUAUUGCCAGAGGUAGCAAACAGCAGUGCUACAACAAACAGUGGAGUGCUGACCAUGCAGUCCAGAAGGUGGCUGAGGCAAGUAUGCUAUAGGAGGUGCUUAUUCAGGCAGAAGCAUCUGUAGCCAACGUAAAGGAAGCAUCUUCAAAAAGCAGUGCUACAAGGAUGUGAGCAGCAGUUUCCCUUCAACGAACGGGUCAAAUUCAUGGAAGCCACGUGCCUGCUGCUUCUGGCCUACACAAACAUGCAGCCACCAUAAUAAAGUUCUUGCAAAGACAUUCUACACGAACUUGCCCAAAGGCGGAAGGAAAACACGCACAGAUGGACGCACAGAAAUCAUGGGGCUGCCGAAGAAGCUGUGAAUGAGCAUUAACCUGUGAACGUACAAAAAGGAGCGAAGUGGAGAUGUCCAUGGGCCGUGCACACAGUUUCAUAAGCAAGCUUGCAACACUUUUGACAAAUAUGUUCCUGAAUACAUCUGCCAAAGUGGCAUUUAAAGAAGCAUGUAGUAGUGUA